rnacentral:misc_RNA from 1 species
AACGCACCUUGCGCCCUUUGGCUAUUCCGAAGGGCAUGCCUGUUUGAGUAUCAUGAACACCUCAACUCUCAUGGCUUGCUGUGAUGAGCUUGGACUUUGGAGGUCUUGUUGGCCUGUGAGCCAGCUCCUCUUAAAUGAAUUAGCUUGCCAGUGUUUGGUGGCAUCACAGGUGUGAUAACUAUCUACGCUUGUGGUUUCCCAUCAAGUAACCUUCAGCGAUGGAGGUUCGCUGGGGCUUAUAAACAUCUCUCCUCGGUGAGGACAGAUUUUGACCGUUUGAUCUCAAAUCAGGUAGGACUACCCGCUGAACUUAA